GAACGGCUAAUGUUAAAGAGUAGCAAAUUCUAAAGAAUAGCUAAUAAUGUAAAGAAUGUUUAGCGAUAAAGAAUGGCUAACGAGUAAAGAAUGGAUAAGAAUAAAGAGUAGAAUCAAUUAAUCUACCUAUAUGAGUUGCAUGAUUUGCAUAUUGCAUGUUGUGAGGCAAAAGCAUGGUAAUGUUAGUAGCAUGAUUUAUGAUUUCAUAUCUAUCUAUUGGACUAAUAUGUUGUUUGCCUCCUUUGGACCUGAUGGUCGAGCUCUUCCCUUGGGUGGCCAUACCCACUAGGAACCUUGGAGUCGGUUCUCACCCCACGUUGUUUUGGGGUGUUACAGGUUCACACGCGAGCGGCGCGGCGGCGCGAGGAAAGGGCGUAGCUCCAUAGUUAGCGCCCUACCAUUGAGACCAGAUAGCAGCACCCUGAGUCGGCUUCUUAGGGUUAUAAAUGCAAAGAACCAAGAGUAUGAUAAUUGUAAGAACAAUAUUGUAAUAACUAUGUUAAAACUAGAUUGUAUUUGGAAGUAGAAAUCAUGGAAUCAAAUG
rnacentral:lncRNA from 1 species